UCAGCUCCACCCACGCCAAGCGCGCGCGCCGGACGCAUCCGCACCAGCAGCAGAGCAGAGAUGGCCGCCCUCGCCGCCUCCUCCACGGCCGCCUUCGCCGCCAAGCCGCGCCUGCCCCGCGCGCGCCUCUCCGUGGCCUGCUCCGCCACCGGCGGCGACGGCAGCAACGGCAGCAGCGUCUCGCUCGCCUCCUCCGUCAAGACCUUCUCCGCCGCGCUGGCGCUGUCCUCCGUCCUCCUCUCCUCCGCCGCUACCUCCCCUCCGCCGGCCGCCGCCGACAUCGCCGGCCUCACCCCGUGCAAGGAGUCCAAGGCGUUCGCCAAGCGCGAGAAGAACUCGAUCAAGAAGCUCACCACCUCGCUCAAUAAGUACGCCCCCGACAGCGCCCCCGCCCUCGCCAUCAACGCCACCAUCGAGAAGACCAAGCGCCGCUUCGAGAACUACGGCAAGUUCGGCCUGCUCUGCGGCGCCGACGGCCUGCCGCACCUCAUCGUCAGUGGCGACCAGCGGCACUGGGGCGAGUUCAUCACCCCGGGCCUGCUCUUCCUCUACAUCGCCGGGUGGAUCGGGUGGGUCGGCAGGAGCUACCUCAUCGCCAUCAGCGGCGAGAAGAAGCCCGCCAUGAGGGAGAUCAUCAUCGACGUCGAGCUCGCGUCGCGGCUCCUCCCCAGGGGGUUCAUCUGGCCCGUUGCAGCCUACCGCGAGCUCAUCAACGGAGAC
rnacentral:lncRNA from 1 species